rnacentral:rRNA from 1 species
GGUUUCGGCUAUCACUUUAGGAUGGACCCGCGGUGCAUUAGUUAGUUGGUGAGGUAAAGGCUCACCAAGACCGUGAUGCAUAGCCGACCUGAGAGGGUAAUCGGCCACACUGGGACUGAGACACGGCCCAGACUCCUACGGGAGGCAGCAGUAGGGAAUCUUCCACAAUGGACGAAAGUCUGAUGGAGCAACGCCGCGUGAGUGAAGAAGGUUUUCGGAUCGUAAAACUCUGUUGUUGGAGAAGAACGUAUUUGAUAGUAACUGAUCAGGUAGUGACGGUAUCCAACCAGAAAGCCACGGCUAACUACGUG